rnacentral:rRNA from 1 species
CACGUAGGCAGCAAGCGUUGUUCGGAAUUACUGGGCGUAAAGAGUGUGUAGGCGGUGCUCUAAGUUUGGUGUGAAAUCUCCCGGCUCAACUGGGAGGGUGCGCCGAAAACUGGAAUGCUUGAACGUGGGAGAGGAAAGCGGAAUUCCUGGUGUAGCGGUGAAAUGCGUAGAGAUCGGGAGGAACACCAGUGGCGAAGGCGGCCUUCUGGACCAGUACUGACGCUCAUGCACGAAAGCGUGGGGAGCAAACAGG